rnacentral:rRNA from 1 species
CUGAUGGGCAACGAAGGCCCUCGUCUAUGAAUAUUUUUACAAACGCUCAAAGUAUGACAGAAUGUAUAUCAUAUUGCGUCUGAUAAACGUGACAAAUACAACUUUCAACAACGGAUCUCUUGGCUCUCGCAUCGAUGAAGAACGCAGCGAAAUGCGAUAAGUAAUGUGAAUUGCAGAAUUCAGUGAAUCAUCGAAUCUUUGAACGCACCUUGCGCUCCUUGGUAUUCCGAGGAGCAUGCCUGUUUGAGUGUCAUGAAAUUCUCGACUGCCCCAGGCUUUGUGGCCUGCGGGUGAAGUUGGACUUGGAGGUAUGCUGGCGCAUGAAUGGGCUUUUGUGCCCCGUCUCGCUUGUUGGCUCCUCUUGAAUGCAUGAGCUUUCCAAUCCUUGGCAAAGUAUCGUCGAUGUGAUAAUUGUCUACGUCGCCUGAGAAAGCCGAAAAGGGGAAAUCUUUGAUCACGCUGGGGUGACCUGCGUCUGACAAAUUCGACCUCAAAUCAGGUAGGACUACCCGCUGAACUUAAGCAUAUCAAUAAGCGGAGGAAAAGAAACUAACAAGGAUUCCCCUAGUAACUGCGAGUGAAGCGGGAAAAGCUCAAAUUUAAAAUCUGGCGGCCUCCGGUCG